CUCAGGAUGAACGCUAGCGGCAGGCUUAACACAUGCAAGUCGAGGGGUAUAAGUCUUCGGAUUUAGAGACCGGCGCACGGGUGCGUAACGCGUAUGCAAUCUACCUUUUACAGAGGGAUAGCCCAGAGAAAUUUGGAUUAAUACCUCAUAGCAUAGCAGCUUCGCAUGAAGCCACUAUUAAAGUCACAACGGUAAAAGAUGAGCAUGCGUCCCAUUAGCUAGUUGGUAAGGUAACGGCUUACCAAGGCUACGAUGGGUAGGGGUCCUGAGAGGGAGAUCCCCCACACUGGUACUGAGACACGGACCAGACUCCUACGGGAGGCAGCAGUGAGGAAUAUUGGACAAUGGGCGCAAGCCUGAUCCAGCCAUGCCGCGUGCAGGAUGACGGUCCUAUGGAUUGUAAACUGCUUUUAUACGAGAAGAAACACUACUUCGUGAAGUAGCUUGACGGUAUCGUAAAAAUAAGGAUC
rnacentral:rRNA from 1 species